UACGUAGGUGGCAAGCGUUGUCCGGAAUUAUUGGGCGUAAAGCGCGCGCAGGCGGUCCUUUAAGUCUGAUGUGAAAGCCCACGGCUCAACCGUGGAGGGUCAUUGGAAACUGGGGGACUUGAGUACAGAAGAGGAAAGUGGAAUUCCACGUGUAGCGGUGAAAUGCGUAGAGAUGAUGGAGGAACACCAGUGGCGAAGGCGACUUCCUGGACACCAACUGACGCUGAGACGCGAAAGCGUGGGGAGCAAACAGG
rnacentral:rRNA from 1 species